UUCUUUCUCUACAUCUGUUUCAGAGAUGAUGGUGUCUGCAGUCUGGGAAGCUGCUGUCCCUGAGGUCCUGGGGAUUGAACUCAGGUAGUCAGGAUUGGCAGCAAGUGCCUUUAUCGGCUGAGCCACCACACUGCUCUCCACCCCAAGCCAGUUGUCAUUUACAAUUACAUAAAAAGAUGUUAUGUGAAGGGAUAAGCAGAGAAAAAAAAGGUAUGCAGAAGUUGCUCAAUGAUGGCAACAGCUGCUAUUACUGUUACUGAAGUUCUUACUGUCACAGCAGGAAAGGAGGAGACAUUACCUCUGGACUGCCACCAUCUUCAUACUAAGGCAUCCUGUCAUGAACAACCUUGAUCAACAGUCCCAUGAGGGCCUCAAGUUUCAGUUAUGCUAGCUUGUAAGUCUGAUGGGACUCCAUUCGUGACCUCCUUAGAUGGCUUCUCCUGGAGUUUAGAUUCCAGAUAUGAUUUUCAACCACUGGGGGAAAUCUUUUAGUUUCCUAAACUUCAUUUUGCCUGUGCUAGAUGAGAGUUGAACUAUGUGUCAAUCAAAACUAAGAGGUGGAGCCAUUUGAAUCUCUGAAUGACCCCCACUGGUGGCUCCUCUCUUUCCUUGCACACACUUCUGACUAACACACACUCAUUUUCUCUGUUGCUCUUUUUGUAAUUAAUAACUUGAUGUGGGGACUACACAAGUAGGAAGCCACUGCUUUUUUGUCUUCCU
rnacentral:lncRNA from 1 species